rnacentral:rRNA from 1 species
UCGCCUGUUUUUCAAAAACAUCUUUAGUUAAAAAAACUAAUUCUGCCUGCCCAGUGUAAAUUCAACGGCCGCAGUAUCCUAACUGUGCAAAGGUAGCAUAAUCCUUUGUCUCUUGAUUAGAGACUAGCAUGAACGGCCCGACGAGAGGUUGACUUUCUCCUUUUUUCAUUUAACUUACUACAGGAGUAAAAAAGCUCUUAAUCCUCAGAAAGACGAUAAGACCCUGCAAAACUUCACUCUCUAAGGCCCAUUAAAAGAUCUCAGAUCUCCAGGUUGAGUUUGGUUGGGGCGACCCUUUCACCAACAACAUAAACUAAUGUAACAUACUGAAUGACUCUUUUAAACGCUUCUACUACAUAACAAGUUACUUCAGGGAUAACAGCACUACUUCUCUUUAGAGUUCUCAUCGUCAGAGAAACGUGUGACCUCGAUGUUGAAUUGAAGGUUCUAUGUUAAGCAGAAUUAAUGUAAGAAAGUCUGUUCGACUUUUAAACUCUUUACAUGAUUUGAGUCCAAACCGGA